ACGCGGCGCCAAAAGGUGGCGUUGAAGUGGUCGUAGAGGCCAGCGUCCAGGGCGUUCCAGGCGCGCGCCGCGCGCGCCAGCGCCGCGGGGAUGGCGGCCAGGCGGGAGCUGGCGGCGCGCGCGUUGAGCUUGGCGUAGAGCACGUCGUCCAGGUCCCAGGCCAGCAGGCGCCGCAGCAGCACCAGCGACUCGUCGAAGUACUCGGCGAUCAUGACGAGCGAGAAGACCUCCUCCACCUGGCGGAUGAGACCCGCCAGGUAGGCGGCGUCAUCGCGCGGGCUGCGCUCGUUGUCGCCGCCCAGGUCGUAGGCCAGCGUGUUGUGCGCGAACAUGGCGAAGUGCUCGCCGGCGCGGUAGUAGGCCUCGGGCGCGCGCAGGAAGGCCUCGAGCGAGGCGUUGGGCACGCGCCGGAAGGCCGGGCAGUACUGGUUGUAGUAGCUGAAGAGCGACUCAAACAUGGCGGCCGGCUCGCGCAGAAUGGUGACGUAGAUGGUGCCGGGAGGCAUGAGGCGCUCUAGCUCCGCGCGGUCGAAGCGUAAGUGGCUGGCCAGCACGUGCGGCGGCCGCGUGGCCGGGUGCACGAAGUGCGCAGAGAAGUUGCGCGGAUAGCAGAACUGGUGCUCGCAGCUCGGGUGCGGCAGGGCCACCGUCAGGUUGUGGCGCUCGGCGAAGCGGAACAGGAUGUUCUGCACCGUCGUGCCGGCUGUCUUGUGCGUCUUCAGGAAGGCGACGGUCAUGUGCUUGGGGCGCGGCGGCGAGUUCCGCAGAGGAGGGCAGCUCAGAGGGAACAGCUUGGGGUACCUGCCAGGCCCAGGGGGUGUGCAGAGAGGAGGGUCUGAGGGGGCUGCCGCUUAACCCCAGCCCUUUCCCCAAGGACUGUGGGAUGCCCCACAGAGGGGCCCCGCCCGGGCUGCACUCAUGGAAAUGUCAAGGGUGGUGCUGGGUAGCCUCUAUGAUGCCCCCUAUGAUCCCUGCUGGCCUCCUGGUGUUCACACCCUUGAGUAUUCCCCUGCCCUGAGUGAGGCUGGACAUACUGCAUCUAAAGAAUAGAAGAGAGGGCCGGCAGAAAUAAUGGGAUGUCACUUCUUAAAUUUCAUCAUAGAAAGAAGGUGGCCAGUAUCUUGGUGUCUUUCUUGUAAUCCCGGAUGAGAGGUGCUGGGGGAAGCAUGCUGCCAUAUAGUGGGCAGCCCUAUAGGGAGCUACCACUAAGUAGGAAAAGCCAGCAAGGACCUGAGGCCCUCAGUCUACCAGCCCGCUUGAAGAACUGAAGCCUGUCAAAACCAUGUGGAGCUUGGAAGCCGAUCCCUUCCAACCAAGCCUUCAGAUGAGACUGCAUCCCCAGCAAACACCUUGGUUGCAAACCCAUGAAAGACCUUGGUCCAGAAGUUCCCAGUAAGCCACACCUGGCUUCCUGACUCCCAAGAACAGAUGCUUUCAGCUGCUAAGCUUUAAGGUAAUUUGUUUAUGCAGAAAUUAAUAAGGGACAAAGGCCCCUUGGAGAUCUUUGAGGCAUCCCACUUUGUAGAUGUAGAAACUGAAGGCCAAAUGGAGAAAAUAACUUAACACAAAUUCUGGAGACAAUUCACAUCAUCUCUAGAUCCUUUUGCUCUUUUUCAUUUUCACUCUUUAACUGGCUCCUCACUUUGUAGAUGGUUGGCACUGGGCUCUGCAGCAACCCAUUUGUUAGGUUUCUCUUAAGGGGUCUAAUGCCUCAUUCAUUCAUUCAUCAGAUAUGUUUUGGGUAUCCACUAUGUGCCAGGCAUUAUGCUAGGUUCAAGAAAUACAGCAAUAUACAAAAACAA